rnacentral:rRNA from 1 species
CCUACGGGUGGCUGCAGUGAGGAAUAUUGGUCAAUGGUCGGGAGACUGAACCAGCCAAGCCGCGUGAGGGAUGAAGGUACAGAGUAUCGUAAACCUCUUUUGUCAGGGAACAAAAGCGGGGACGCGUCCCCGGAUGAGUGUACCUGAAGAAAAAGCAUCGGCUAACACCGUGCCAGCAGCCGCGGUAAUACGGAGGAGGCGCCGGUUCUCCGGUUUUAUUGGGUUUAAGGGGUGCGCAGGCGGUCUGUUAAGUCAGCGGUCAAAGCCCGGGGCUCAACCCCGGCCCGCCGUUGAAACUGGCAGGCUCGAGUUGGAGAGAAGUAUGCGGAAUGCGCGGUGUAGCGGUGAAAUGCAUAGAUAUCGCGCAGAACUCCGAUUGCGAAGGCAGCAUGCCGGCUCCACACUGACGCUGAGGCACGAAAGCGUGGGUAUCGAACAGGAUUAGAUACCCGGGUAGUC